GGAGGUUUGGCUGAGUGGUCUAAGGCGACACAUUGCUAACGUGUAGAACAUUAAAUUGUUCCGUAAGUUCGAAUCUUGCAACCUCCG
rnacentral:tRNA from 1 species